UACGGAGGGAGCUAGCGUUGUUCGGAAUUACUGGGCGUAAAGCGCGCGUAGGCGGCUUUGUAAGUUAGAGGUGAAAGCCCGGGGCUCAACUCCGGAACUGCCUUUAAGACUGCAUCGCUUGAAUCCGGGAGAGGUGAGUGGAAUUCCGAGUGUAGAGGUGAAAUUCGUAGAUAUUCGGAAGAACACCAGUGGCGAAGGCGGCUCACUGGACCGGUACUGACGCUGAGGCGCGAAAGCGUGGGGAGCAAACAGG
rnacentral:rRNA from 1 species